rnacentral:rRNA from 1 species
GUCCACACCGUAAACGUUGGGCGCUAGGUGUGGGACUCAUUCCACGAGUUCCGUGCCGCAGCUAACGCAUUAAGCGCCCCGCCUGGGGAGUACGGCCGCAAGGCUAAAACUCAAAGGAAUUGACGGGGGCCCCGCACAAGCGGCGGAGCAUGCGGAUUAAUUCGAUGCAACGCGAAGAACCUUACCUGGGUUUGACAUAUACGAGAAGCCUCUAGAGAUAGAGGUCUCUUUGGACACUCGUAUACAGGUGGUGCAUGGCUGUCGU